ACGCUGGCGGCGUGCUUAACACAUGCAAGUCGAACGAAGCACUUUACCACGAUUCCUUCGGGAUGACGGUUUAGUGACUGAGUGGCGGACGGGUGAGUAACGCGUGGGGAACCUGCCCCAUACCGGGGGAUAACAGCCGGAAACGGCUGCUAAUACCGCAUAAGCGCACAGUACCGCAUGGUACGGUGUGAAAAACUCCGGUGGUAUGGGAUGGACCCGCGUCUGAUUAGCCAGUUGGCGGGGUAACGGCCCACCAAAGCGACGAUCAGUAGCCGGCCUGAGAGGGCGACCGGCCACAUUGGGACUGAGACACGGCCCAGACUCCUACGGGAGGCAGCAGUGGGGAAUAUUGCACAAUGGGGGAAACCCUGAUGCAGCGACGCCGCGUGAGUGAAGAAGUAUUUCGGUAUGUAAAGCUCUAUCAGCAGGGAAGAAGAAAUGACGGUACCUGACUAAGAAGCCCCGGCUAACUACGUGCCAGCAGCCGCGGUAAUACGUAGGGGGCAAGCGUUAUCCGGAUUUAUUGGGUGUAAAGGGAGCGCAGGCGGCAUGAUAAGUCUGAUGUGAAAACCCAAGGCUCAACCAUGGGACUGCAUUGGAAACUGUCGUGCUGGAGUGUCGGAGAGGUAAGCGGAAUUCCUAGUGUAGCGGUGAAAUGCGUAGAUAUUAGGAGGAACACCAGUGGCGAAGGCGGCUUACUGGACGAUGACUGACGCUGAGGCUCGAAAGCGUGGGGAGCAAACAGGAUUAAAUACCCCUGGUAGUCCACGCCCUAAACCAUGAAUACUACGGGGUCGGGGAGCACAGCUUUUCCGGGGCCCCAGCAAACGCAGUAAGUAUUCCACCUGGGGAGUACGUUCGCAAGAAUGAGACUCAAAGGAAUUGACGGGGACCUGCACAAGCGGUGGAGGCAUGUGGUUUAAUUCGAAGCAACGCGAAGAACCUUACCAAGUCUUGACAUCCUUCUGACAGAGUAUGUAAUGUACUUUCCUUUCGGGGCAGGAGUGACAGGUGGUGCAUGGUUGUCGUCAGUUCGUGUCGUGAGAUGUUGGGUUAAGUCCCGCAACGAGCGCACCCCUUAUCCUUAGUAGCCAGCACGUCGUGGUGGGCACUCUGGGGAGUCUGCCAGGGAUAACCUGGAGGAAGGUGGGGAUGACGUCAAAUCAUCAUGCCCCUUAUGACUUGGGCUACACACGUGCUACAAUGGAGUAAACAAAGGGAAGCGAGCCCGUGAGGGGGAGCAAAUCCCAAAAAUAACGUCCCAGUUCGGAUUGUAGUCUGCAACUCGACUACAUGAAGCUGGAAUCGCUAGUAAUCGCGAAUCAGAAUGUCGCGGUGAAUACGUUCCCGGGUCUUGUACACACCGCCCGUCACACCAUGGGAGUCGGGAAUGCCCGAAGCCGGUGACCUAACCUACGGGAAGGAGCCGUCGAAGGCAG
rnacentral:rRNA from 1 species